rnacentral:rRNA from 1 species
UGGUUGAUCCUGCCAGUAGUCAUAUGCUUGUCUCAAAGAUUAAGCCAUGCAUGUCUAAGUACAAGCCUAGUUAAGGUGAAACCGCGAAUGGCUCAUUAAAUCACACCUAAUAUACUGGAUAGUAUACAGUUACUUGGAUAACUGCGGUAAUUCUGGAGCUAAUACAUGCGUCUGAGCCCCGAACUUACGUGAGGGGCGCUUUUAUUAGAUCAAGACCAAACGACUUCGGUCGUCCUCUUGGUGAUUCUGAAUAACUUUGGGCUGAUCGCACGGCUUCACGCCGGCGACGUAUCUUUCUAAGGUGUGCCCUAUCAACUGUCGACUGUGGCAUAGACGCCCACAGUGGUUUUGACGGGUAACGGGGAAUCAGGGUUCGAUUCCGGAGAGGGAGCCUGAGAGACGGCUACCACUUCUAAGGAAGGCAGCAGGCACGCAAAUUACCCACUGGUCGAAGACCGAGGUAGUGACGAAAAAUAACGAUACCGGACUCAUCCGAGGCCUGGUAAUCGGAAUGAGUACACUUUAAAUCCUUUAACGAGGAACAAUUGGAGGGCAAGUC